rnacentral:sRNA from 22 species
GCCUCCUCGCUUCCAUAGAAAGGGGACGGGGCAGAUCGCAAGUGCUACAACCGAGCGGUGGUAUCUGUCAAACUAAGCAGCCACUGCACAUCAAUUGACUAAGGAGA